GUGCUCGCUUCGGCAGCACAUAUACUAAAACUGGAACGAUACAGAGAAGGUUAGCAUGGCCCCUGCGCAAGGAUGACACACAAAUUCGUGAAAGGUUCCAUAUUUGU
rnacentral:snRNA from 1 species